GGUUCUUGGUCGGGUGGGGACUUGGAGAAUUUUUGUGUCUAGCUAAAGGAUGGUAAAUGCACCAAUCAGCACUCUGUGUCUAGCUAAAGGAUUGUAAAUGCACCAAUCAGCACUCUGUAAAGCACACUAAUCAGCACUCUGUAAAAUGGACUAAUCAGCACUCUGUAAAAUGGACCAAUCAGCACUCUGUAAAAUCACCAAUCAGUGCUCGGUAAAAUGAACCAAUGAACAGGACGUGGGCAGGGCCAAAUAAGGGAAUAAAAGCUGGCCACCAGAGCCAGCAGUGGCAACCCGCUGAGGUCCCUUUCCACCCUGUGGAAUCUUUGUUCUUUACCUCUUCACAAUAAAUCUUGCUGCUGCUCACUCUUUGGGUUGCUCUUUCGGGUCACUACUUUUAAGAGCUGUAAUAUUCACUGUGAAGGUCUGCAGCUUCACUCCUGAAGUCAGUGAGACCGCUAACCCACCAGGAGGAACAAACAACUCCAGAUGUGCCACCUUUAAGAGCUGUAACACUCACUGCGAAGGUCUGUGGCUUCACUCCUGAAGCCAGCGAGACCAUGAACCCACCAGGAGGAACAAACAACUCCAGAUGUGCCACUUUAGGAGCUGUAACACUCACUGCGCAGGUCUCUGGCUUCACUCCUGAAGCCAGCAAGACCACGAACCCACCAAAAAAGAAAUUCCGGGCACAUCUGAACAUCUGAAGGAACAAACACACAAUCUUUAAGAACUGUAACACUCACCGCGAGGGUCUGUGGCUUCAUUCUUGAAGUCAGUGAGACCAAGAACCCACUGAAAGGAACCAAUUCUGGACACAUUUUGGCAACCGUGAAGGGACAAUCACCAAGUGCUUCUUUCAUUUUGCUGAACUGAGAAGAAAAUUUUUAAAUAUUGGGCCAAAAUCCAGAAAGAACAGAAUUCAAGAGAGUUAAACCUUGCUGUUACAAUGAAGAAUUUCUUGAUUUCUCAGAAGUUACCUGAGAUGUGGACCAGAACCUUUUCAAGUCUUCUGGCUUACGAGGCUAAGGUGUUGGACCAGAGUGCUCAGAUUCUGCAAUUUGCCUUCUACAUCUGGACACAGUAUGCUUGCUCUAAACCUCCAGGC
rnacentral:lncRNA from 10 species